ACGAACGCUGGCGGCAGGCCUAACCCAUGCAAGUCGAACGAAGUCUUCGGACUUAGUGGCGCACGGGUGAGUAACACGUGGGAAUAUACCUUACGCUGGGGGAUAACAUCGGGAAACUGAUGCUAAUACCGCAUACGCCCUUCGGGGGAAAGAUUUAUCGGCGAAAGAUUAGCCCGCGUCCGAUUAGCUAGUUGGUGAGGUAAUGGCUCACCAAGGCUCCGAUCGGUAGCUGGUCUGAGAGGAUGACCAGCCACACUGGGACUGAGACACGGCCCAGACUCCUACGGGAGGCAGCAGUGGGGAAUAUUGGACAAUGGGCGCAAGCCUGAUCCAGCCAUGCCGCGUGAGUGAUGAAGGCCUUAGGGUUGUAAAGCUCUUUCACCCACGACGAUGAUGACGGUAGUGGGAGAAGAAGCCCCGGCUAACUUCGUG
rnacentral:rRNA from 1 species